GACACCAGCAAGGAGAUCAUCGAAUACCGCAUGAGGGUGCAUGUAUUCGGAAAUAGUCCAUCUCCUGCUGUAGCCAUUUAUGGACUCCGACGUGCAACAGCGUAUGGUGAAAAAGAGUAUGGUUCAGAUGCCAAACACUUUGUAGAGAGGGAGUUCUACGUCGAUGAUGGACUUCUGUCGAAGCCCACAGCUGCGGGAGCCAUUGACCUGCUUACACGAACUAAGGAGAUGCUAGCCACUUCGAAUCUGAGACUGCACAAGUUCGCCUCUAAUGGUAAAGAAGUAAUGAACGCAUUCCUGAUUGAAGAUCAUGCAAAAGGGUUCAAAUAUCUCAACUUGGAUGUUGAUUCUACUCCCAUCCAACGUAGUCUCGGACUUAGCUGGGAUGUGAAGAGAGACACAUUCACCUUUCAGGUAACAGAUAUCAAGAAACCUUUUACUCGCAGAGGGAUACUUGCUACUGUGAACAGUCUUUUCGACCCACUUGGGUUCGUUGCCCCUAUCACCAUCGAAGGAAAAUUCCUGUUAAGAGAACUCUCAAGUGAAGCUCUUGACUGGGACUCUCCUCUCCCUGAAGAUAAAGAAGGAGCAUGGGAGGCAUGGAGGAAAUCUUUACAAGGCCUCAAAGAGCUGGAGAUUCCAAGACCGUAUGUCGAUAGUACCCUCUCUACAGCCCUGAGAAAGGAACUACAUGUUUUCUCAGAUGCUUCUGUCAGAGCGAUAGCAGCAGUGGCAUAUCUUCAUGUCAUCAGUGAAGAAGGUGCAUGUCACACUGGGUUCGUCCUAGGGAAGGCGAAGUUAGCUCCACAAGCUGCUCAUACGAUUCCCAGAUUGGAAUUGGGAGCUGCGGUUUUAGCUGCAGAGUUAGCAGAGACAAUCAUGGAUGAGCUGGACUUCUCUCUAGAUGCUGUGGAGUUUUACACUGAUAGCAGAGUUGUCCUGGGAUAUCUCUAUAACCAGACGAGACGUUUUUAUGUAUACGCUGCCAACAGAGUGCAGCGUAUCAGGAAGGUGUCAAGCCCAACACAGUGGCAUUAUAUCUCUACGAAGCAUAACCCUGCAGACCAUGCCACUCGUUCUGUACCAGCAGAUCUGUUGAGCACCAC
rnacentral:lncRNA from 1 species